UACGGAGGGUGCAAACGUUGCUCGGAAUCAUUGGGCGUAAAGCGCACGUAGGCGGCCUGUUAAGUCGGGUGUGAAAGCCCUCGGCCCAACCGAGGAAGUGCAUUCGAAACUGGCAGGCUUGAAUAUGGAAGAGGGUCGCGGGAUUCCCGGUGUAGAGGUGAAAUUCGCUGAUAUCGGGAGGAACACCAGUGGCGAAGGCGGCGACCUGGGCCAAUAUUGACGCUGAGGUGCGAAAGCGUGGGGAGCAAACAG
rnacentral:rRNA from 1 species